rnacentral:rRNA from 1 species
GGGGAAUCUUCCGCAAUGGACGAAAGUCUGACGGAGCAACGCCGCGUGAGUGAUGACGGUCUUCGGAUUGUAAAGCUCUGUUAAUCGGGACGAAAGAGCUCUGUGUGAAUAAUGCAGAGAAGUGACGGUACCGGAAUAGAAAGCCACGGCUAACUACGUGCCAGCAGCCGCGGUAAUACGUAGGUGGCAAGCGUUGUCCGGAAUUAUUGGGCGUAAAGCGCGCGCAGGCGGGUUUUUAAGUCUGUCUUAAAAGUUCGGGGCUUAACCCCGUGAGGGGAUGGAAACUGGAAACCUAGAGUAUCGGAGAGGAAAGCGGAAUUCCUAGUGUAGCGGUGAAAUGCGUAGAUAUUAGGAAGAACACCAGUGGCGAAGGCGGCUUUCUGGACGAAAACUGACGCUGAGGCGCGAAAGCCAGGGGAGCAAAC